GCUUGGAAGAAGUACAGCCAGAAUGCUCCUUAGACUUAAUGGCGCUGUAAGCAGGAUCUGAAGCUACAAAUCCAGUCAACUGCAAAGAGACCUGGACUGCAGAACAGAAGCCGUCAAAGAGAGAGAAGGUCCUAUCUUCUGGACCCACGUGUUCCCACUCCAUGUCCCUUCGACAUUGACGGGAUAAGUUUUUACUUUGCUGAUAUGCUGAAAAAGUUUGACCCAAAUAUCUCAACAAAA